AAGAUCAACAAGAGACCUUCCCUUGUAAGAUGAGAAUUGUGUAGUAGGUGACUAUUAGAAGAGUAAACAAGUCUUAAGUCUGUAAACAUUUUUUCAGUAAAUGCAAUGGAGUACCAGAUAUCUCUCGUUACUAUGACUAAAGAAAGUUCAAUGGUGACCUACUUCUGCCUGAGUAUUGCUAGAAUUCUUUCUUUAUCCUUGAAGUUCAGUAACUUCAUCAGGAUAUAACUCGGUCUUGGUGUGAUUCUCUUACAUUUUCCUGUUAAAUGAUGUUUUCAGUCCCACUUCUCACUACUGAUCUCCCUCGUACGACGGUCACUGAACUGGCGCCUCUCUGGGGUUCUGCCCAGAAGAUUAGCCUUCCUCCUUCGCUGCAGCUCCUCUAACUCAACAAAAAUCCAGUGGAAGGCUUUUCUGCAGGUUUAAUAGAUGACAAUGAUCUCUACCGAUGGGAAGUCCUUAUUAUUGGCCCUCCAGAUACACUUUAUGAAGGUGGUGUUUUUAAGGCUCAUCUUACUUUCCCAAAAGAUUAUCCCCUCCGACCUCCUAAAAUGAAAUUCAUUACAGAA
rnacentral:lncRNA from 1 species